UUGACCGGAGAUUUACAACUUAAAAGAUGCAAGUAGAUCGAGUUUGGAACUUAGAAAAAAAAUAGAAAAGCCAUGGUGGAACUCAAUGGAGAUGGACAAAGAAGUGAUAAUAGUUCAAACUUGCUUGUGAGAUUUUUUGGGCAGAAUUUCUCAAAAGUCCGUAUUUUGUCCCAUAUCCAUUGUGAGAUGGGAUAGAAUGCCAAAAGAGAAAAAACAAGUAAUGUGGGAGCUUAUUAAGAAACAAUGUGCACAAAAUGCAAAAAACAGAAAGAAACUUAAAGUCUCGCAUGCUGGUGGUAGCAAAAGCAAUGCAAUGAGAGGUCUUCAGAUGGAUAAAAUAUCGGAGCAUCUACUUGAAGAUUAGGAACUUGCUAUCAGUUAUGGUGUUCCUUUGAAUAUACUAGCUUAUUCUAACGAUGCCAUUAGAAAAGUGUUUGGAUCUGAACAUUUUGGACGUGUGUGUGGUUUAGGUGGUAAUGUUUGUCCUUCAAAAGCCUUUGGAAUGUCUAGAAAUAGUCAUGUGAAUCUUGGUAGCUCAAGCAGUAUAUAUCAUCAACGUGUUGAAGACCUUGAGAAAUAAGUAGAAACCUUGAAAGAAAAGCUGACCGGAUAUGUAGAGACCAAAAAAAAACUUGUGCAAAAUGAGAAUUACUUGACAACUCUUCAUAGGUUUUUACUAUCUAAAUUUGGUAGCGAGUUGCCUACUUUCAACUAAUCUUCUUAGCCUUUAGUAUAUUUUGAAACAAACGACAUAUAUGGUGUUUCUUUAACUUUUAACAUUAGUAUUUGUGGUAUCUUUUAUGAAUAUUUAAGGUUCGAACCUUGUCUUUUGUGAUAAUAUAUUGAAUAAUAUCAGAACUUUGAUAAUUAUG